rnacentral:rRNA from 1 species
GGCUAACGGUGGAUACCUAGGCACACAGAGGCGACGAAGGACGUGGUUACCGACGAUAUGCUCCGGGGAGUUGGAAGCAAACAUAGAUCCGGAGAUUUCCGAAUGGGGCAACCCUAAAUACAGCCUGUUGAAUAUAUAGACAGGUAUGAGCCAACCCAGCGAACUGAAACAUCUAAGUAGCUGGAGGAAGAGAAAUCAAACCAGAGAUUCUCCAAGUAGUGGUGAGCGAACGGGGAAAAGCCUAAACCAAUUGGUUUACCGAUUGGGGUAGUGGGACAGCGAUAUCGAAUCUGGAAGCUAGACGAAGCAUUGAAAAGAUGCACCAUAGGAGGUGAAAGUCCUGUAGUCGAAAGUGGAAAGAUAGUAGCUCAAUCCCGAGUAGCAUGGUACACGAGAAAUCCCAUGUGAAUCAGCGAGGACCAUCUCGUAAGGCUAAAUACUACUGUGUGACCGAUAGUGAACCAGUACCGCGAGGGAAAGGUGAAAAGAACCCAGAAGUGGGAGUGAAAUAGAACAUGAAACCGUUAGCCUACAAGCAGUUAGAGGACGAUUCAACGUCUGAUAGCGAGCCUGUUGAAGAAUGAGCCGGCGA